rnacentral:lncRNA from 1 species
GACGGGUUGGAAGUGCAUGUAUAGAGGUAGAGGGGAUAGGACGGGUUGGAAGUGCAUGUAUAGAGGUAGAGGGGAUAGGACGGGUUGGAAGUGCAUGUAUAGAGGUAGAGGGGGUAGGACGGGUUGGAAGUGCAUGUAUAGAGGUAGAGGGGAUAGGACGGGUUGGAAGUGCAUGUAUAGAGGUAGAGGGGAUAGGACGGGUUGGAAGUGCAUGUAUAGAGGUAGAGGGGGUAGGACGGGUUGGACGGAGCGGUCGGGGGGCCUGCCUGCUACGGCAUCAAAAAGUGUCCCUAAACGGGCCGAUCGUGGCGAUGUUAUAAAAGCCCACAUGCAGGGCAGUCAGUGGACAUUUGGUCCAUGCAUGCGGUCCAUGGAACGGUCGGCAGCGGCGGUUCGUUGGGCG